UGCGUGUGGGUAACGGCUGAACCAUACAGCCAAAGUGACGCAGCAUACCAAGAAGCAGGUAGUUGCUUUGCCUGCAUCGAGCACAAGCAGCCGUUCACAAAACCGUGUUCAGCUGUCCCUCACCACGGGUCGUGCCGAUUGCAAGAUGUUCGGGUAACAAAUUUGGGGGAAUCUGGCAGUGAAGCAACCGCCGCCAGAUUUUC
rnacentral:ncRNA from 1 species